GACCCCCCAUGAGUUUCCCAGCUCAGAUCGGUGUGUCUUCUCCUCCAUGACGCCUUUGAUGGUGGGACCCAGAACUUGUUGAGUUAGUAACGGCCACAAUGACACACAGGAGUGAGAAGACCAUCUGCUGCAGAGACGCAAGAUCAAGUGCUACUUCCUGUCGGCAGGAGUCACCGUCCUGCUGGUCAUCAUUCUCGUCAUCGCCACCUCUAUCCGAAAGUGAGGCCACCUGCGGCACAGGCCAGGCCCUGGUGACCCAGCCAUGAACAUGGCUGAUGGAGACCCUCUUUUCCUGGAACUCCCAGCUGUAGAGGCAGGUGAACCUGAAGCUCCCUUUGUGAAUUCAGAAGUGGCUGGACGGGCGGUUCUGCUCAGGCUCCCUCCGGAGGUGCAGUCAGAUGUCGGCCAGGCUGCAGCAUUGGACGACCCAGCUGGGGCAGGAAGAGCCAGGUCUAAUCUUGCUCCUCCCGUGUGGGGCCAGAGCGGGAGACCCCUCGAGGCUGGCAGACCACACUCAGUCAUUUCUGCAAUAUCCCAUGCUAACUCGGGCCAACUCUGCUCACUGUGAGGGGCCACCCCACUGUGC
rnacentral:lncRNA from 1 species